UGUCAGUGCUGUGCGUGUUCACCAGCAGAUGUCACUGUUUACAUAUAAAAUGCAAACAGCCCCCAAAGUUGGUUUUUUUUUUUUUUUUUUUUUUUUUUACCCACCUUUAUUCUAAAGCAAGACAAGCUUGUCCAUGUUUUUUUCAUAAAGCCUUAUUCAUCAUGUGGUCAUUUUUGUUCUGGGAAAUAAUGAUAUUGUUUAUCUCUUUAAAUAGCUGUACAUGUAAAGGGAACUGGUUUAUGAGAGACACUCAUUUCACAUACUAAGCUAUCCAAUCACAUCUCACUUAAAAGAUAAUUGUUGAAUACUUACAAUUUGGCCGAAACCAGCUUCCCAUGACAAAAGGUGUCCAAAAACAGCUAAAGAGCUGUGCUUCUUUAGGGGUCUUAAAACCUCUUUUGAGAGAUGACGAAUAAUAAAGCAGCUUAGAAUGUUGGAAGUUAAGUUCUAAAACUAAAAAUGAGUGUCAUACUGUUUCAGGGAGGUAAAGGCCUGUGGGGGCUGGAGCAGAUGGAAGGCUUUAGAGAAGGAAGCCCCGAGAUAACGAGGGUGAAUUUGUCUGGUUGGGAGCGGAAAGGUACUGUGGGUUUUUGGGGUUUUUUUGUUUUGCUUUUUAUGUUUUGGGGUUCUUUUGCUGAGAGAAUAAAGGGCAAUUAUGUUUGGAGGAUCUAUUUGAUGGACUCAUGAAAAGCAAAAUGGAGGGGGCUGAUGUUAUUACAAAAUCCAGCUGUGAGAACAGGAACUCCUGCACUGGUAACUAGAAAUAAAUUCAGAUUGGGAGGCAUAAGGAAGACAAGACCGCCGUGCCAGCUUAUUGACAGGUAUAGUCACUAUGUCUUUUUGUCUUCUCAGUCCAAAAUCAAGAUACAAGCAUUGACACAUGGUCAGACACUAAAACAGAAGGUUUGAAAGCAGGGCUGUUUGCAGAAACUCCAGGACAUAUGGAUGCUGCAUAUAUGCAGAGGAGAGAGUGACUUGAAUCUCAUGAACCUGUGGGGUAACAAUGGUGCUGCCACUGAGGGAAAUGGAAAACCUGGGCAGGAAGGUUGGCUUGCACAGAAAGAUGUUUCUAGUCUGAUCCAUGUUGUUGAAGCUGAUUGUGGGCCACGGCAUGAUUGGCAAGGCUGGAAGCUAUUCAGGAGCCACUGACCUAGAAGUGGAAACGACGAUAGGGAGGCGAGAGAGAAGGGCCAGGGUGUAGCCAUCACGGUUUGUGUCUUAAGAAGCCAGCUCAUUUUAUUAAAUUGCAUACAUCAGUCAGUAACAUCCAGGAAAGAAGAGAACUGGAAACCUCCGCCUGGUGUGGUGUACUCUUAAGCAUGCAAGUUUCCGCUGACUCUGCACCCUCUCUGCCUUCACAUCGUGGGAAUUCAUGACCGGACCCUUCAGCCUGCACGCCUCCACCUAUCCUAGGGUUUCAUCAUCGUUACUCGGGACUCUCAAACAUCUGUCCAUCAAUCAAUGAGCUGCCCAUCAUACUUGCUCACCCCUUCCAGUCUCUGGGAAAGCAACCUGUUAUCCAACGUGGAAGGUCUUGUUCUUGAUAAGGUGUCAGGAGAGGCCUGGGGUCAUAGGACCAGACUGCAAACAACACAAUCCCAGAAUAAAUCCUACUAAUUUGGCAUAAUUGAUGAAAAUGAAGAUCAGAUAUUCGACCAGAGAUGAGAAAUUCAUGAGCAUGAAUGCUGCAGCUCUGAUUACUUUGCAUAUGAAUGUGUGAAAAGUGCAGGCUUGUGCAAUGAUUUUUCAGAUGAAAUGAAAGCAGGAUGAGGAUGUGAGCCCUGAGUACUUGUGACUUUUAGACCAAAGUCCUUGGCAUCAGCCAGCACUGCAGGAUGGAGCAGGUGAGGUUCAGCAACCCUGUGAAGGGAGGCUAGGGUAUUACUGGCGCCCUUUAAAAGCAGACUGAGUGCAUAAACUCUCACUAGACUGCAAGCGAGUGAGCAGCCCCGGGAAAGCCCAGAUGAGCUAUUGUGCCUUCCUUGGCUUCCCCACCUUCUGUUGUGCUAGGAAGGGCUGGGGAGCCUGUCUGUGGCAGUCGGACAUCCCUUCCCUGGCCCCUCUAGAGAUGGAUGCUACCUCCUUUUAGGAAGUGUGUGGGAGGGGACCGAUUUGCAAAGGUUCGCUCGUGCUCAGUCCCUGCUAGGAUGAUCAAGCUCUUUUCAAAACUCAGGGGUUGGGCUUUUGCGGUUUCUGCAUAGAACAGGCACUUAAAUAUCUGUGGAAUUUAUGAACGACUUCAUGCAUGCAUUUGGUCCUGUAUUCUGGUCCAAACAGAAGAUACGGUAGGUAGACAAAUACCACCAGCUACGGUAGGUAGACAAAUACCACCUCCUAUGGUAGGGAGACAAAUACCACCUCCCCCCACAAAGACGUUUCUGUCCCAAUCCCUGGAACCUGUGCAUGCUAGUUGAUUUGGAAAAAGGGUCUUCACAGAUGUGAUUAAGUCAAGGGUCUUGAGAUGGGAAGAUCAUGCUGCAUUAUCUGGUAGACCCUAAAGACAAUCGCAUGUAUCCCUGUAAGAAAGAAACAGAUAUUUAACUACCUACAGAAGAGGAGAAGGUGAUGUAAAGGUAGAGGCAGAGUGCUACAGACGGAAUGUUUGUGCCCCCCUGCCCCCCCCAACACACACAAGUUCAUAUAUUGAAACCUAACCCUAAUGUGAUGGUUUUAGGAGGUGGGCUUUUGGGAAGUGGGAAGUGAUUAGGUUAUGAGGGCAGGGUCCUCAUGAAUGGGACGAGUGCCUUUUUCAAGAGGCCCCAGAGAGCUCCCUUGCCCUUCCACCGUGUGAGGAUGACCAUCUACGAACCAGGAAACAGGCCCUCACCAGAGACUGAAUCUACUGGCAUUUUUGAUCUAACAUUUCCCAGCCUCCAGAACUGUGAGAAAUAAAUUUCUGUUGUUUAUUAGCUA